ACACAAAUAAGAAACAGCGGAUUCACUGUAAAAUAGUUUUUGUUUUAAAGAUGUAAUUGUUGUGUUUCAAUUUAUAGUUAUAUUAGUUUAUAGCGGUGGAUAAAUAUUAUUAACAUACAAAGAAGAGUCUAAAUUUUAAUGAAUAAAAUAUGUUCUCAGACGUUAAUUAUUAUUCAAAUGGUGCUAAAUUCCUUACACCUCAGCAAAUUAAAAACGCCAACAAAGCUUUUGAAAUUUAUUUACCUAUGUAAUCUUCCUAAGGAAAGUGUCAACUUGAUAGCCUGCGCUCCUUCACCCCGUAAAUGAUUGGGACGGACUAAAGUACAGAACAGCAGCAAAAUCCUCAAGUCGUUAGCCGGCAGCUCAGAUGGACAAGCAUUGUUGGCAAUAUGCUAGGUAAUCGGGUGGCCGGUCAUCAACUAUUUAGCACUGUAGUUCGUAAACAUAGUGUUGCAGUUGUCAGCUUUAAGCCGCCUCCCAGGAGCACUAAGAGGUCAUCUCUUGAUGUACUCAACCAGAUUACUAACUUCAGUCACGCAUUGACCGGCAUGGCUCCAUAGUGAAGCCAUUUAUACCUUCAUCGACUUCCUCCCACUGAAUAGCGUUCUUAGAGUUACAUCUGAAAAUAUCAAUUCGUGUCAAAGCUGUGCAUCAUCAAUUUAAUAUAAUUCACUUAAAUGUGUGUCCCAAUUGGCAAUAACAAUUUAACCUGCUGAAACACUGGAGGAGGUGUCGUUAGUGAGGCCACCGAGCUUGUUGAAAUUCAAGUCGAGUGCGUGCAAACUAAAGAGCCUUCUCAUAAACCCAUCCUAACGCGGAUUGGGUACCCGUUACAACAGCAACAACCUCCUCAUGGAGCACGCAAUGACUCUAUCUGGUAUUCCAAAGGAUAAAACUGGUCUAUGAAUGGAUUUUUACACUAACGGAUUAACUUAACCAAUGGAGAAUACUGCCCAGUGAAUAAGCAUAUAAAGAAAUGUGUUGGUCUGGAAAUGAAAUGAUCAAUUUAAGCUUCUUAACGCAUAUAAUAUGUGUAAUCAUGUAUUUUCUUAAAACUAUAUCUAUUUAUAAAUUGUAUUUUGUUAUUGAAAUUUCUUUUUUAUGAUUUUUAUAUUUUUUACGCUUUUUGUUCGACAUUUCUUGAGUGUACGUUCUGUAUUGUCUUCAAUUACUACAAUAAUUAUCAUUCUAACUAGGCGAUAAUUGCAUAAUCAGCCUUAUUUAGCAAACAAUAAUCUGUUGAAGUACUAUAUUCAGGAAUACAAAAGUAUUUAUAAAAUCUACAUAUACACGUUUGUAGAUACCAUUCAAAAUCAAUCACUUGUUUCUAUUCGUGAAGUAAUCACACGCCAAUUAAUGAGUGUGCAAUUGGUGUAAUUACUUUCAAAUAUACUUAUUUAUGAUAAUUAUUUAUAAA